GGGAGUAGAUAGGUGCUGGUGUGCCUACUGGUCUUCAAAACCAGCUUCUCGUCUAAAAAGGCGAGGGGUGGGUUCGAUUCCCACAUACUCCC
rnacentral:tRNA from 1 species